rnacentral:rRNA from 1 species
YUACGUGCCAGCAGCCGCGGUAAUACGGAAGGUCCGGGCGUUAUCCGGAUUUAUUGGGUUUAAAGGGAGCGUAGGCCGGAGAUUAAGUGUGUUGUGAAAUGUAGACGCUCAACGUCUGACUUGCAGCGCAUACUGGUUUCCUUGAGUACGCACAACGUUGGCGGAAUUCGUCGUGUAGCGGUGAAAUGCUUAGAUAUGACGAAGAACUCCGAUUGCGAAGGCAGCUGACGGGAGCGCAACUGACGCUUAAGCUCGAAGGUGCGGGUAUCGAACAGGAUUAGAUACCCUGGUAGUCCGCACAGUAAACGAUGGAUGCCCGUUGUUAGUUCACUUUAGAAUUAGCGACCAAGCGAAAGCAUUAAGCAUCCCACCUGGGGAGUACGCCGGCAACGGUGAAACUCAAAGGAAUUGACGGGGGCCCGCACAAGCGGAGGAACAUGUGGUUUAAUUCGAUGAUACGCGAGGAACCUUACCCGGGC